UCCGGUUUGUCACCGGCAGUCUCUGCAGAGUCCCCGGCAUUACCCGCUGGCAACUAAAAGCAGGGGUUGCGCUCGUUGCGGCACUUAAGCCAACACCUCACGGCACGAGCUGACGACAGCCAUGCAGCACCUGUGCUAGCCCCUUUCGGACACGGGCUUUCACCCGCUUUAACUAGCAUGUCAAGCCUAGGUAAGGUUCUUCGCGUUGCAUCGAAUUAAGCCACAUACUCCGCCGCUUGUGCGGGCCCCCGUCGAUUCCUUUGAGUUUUAACCUUGCGGUCGUAAUCCCCAGGCGGGGUGCUUAAUGCGUUAGCUACGGCACGGAGGGAGUGGAUAACCCCCCACACCUAGCACCCAUCGUUUACGGCGUGGACUAC
rnacentral:misc_RNA from 1 species